AGGGAUUUCAACCCUAGUCAAUUUCAUCUCUAAUCACCACCACCAGGUCUACCACGAAGAAUUAUCGAUCUUGAUAGAAAACGACCAGUUAGUGUGUGAUUUUGGAAGCAGAAGCUCAUCUGACUAUCUAAUUAGUACUAGAGUACUCGAUUGAGGAAAUCCAAUUUCCACUGCGAGGAUACCAGUGCAC